AUGAUACUCCCUCCGUCCCAAAAUAAAUGACUCGAUAGUGACUCAACUUUAUACUUAUUAAAGUUAGUAUAAAAUUGAAUCAUUUUUAAGUCAUUUAUUUUGGGACGGAGGAAGUAUUAC
rfam:Hordeum vulgare subsp. vulgare, WGS project CAJW01000000 data, contig: morex_contig_45673